UGGGUUGUAGCUCAGUGGUAGAGCAAUCACCUAGCAUGUGUGAAGCACUGGGUUCAAUUCUCAGUACUACAU
rfam:Ictidomys tridecemlineatus contig053639, whole genome shotgun sequence.